CUUGUCAGGGAAGAGGUUUGCUCGGUGCUGGAGUCGCGGGGACUUCUCCGGGAGACAAGCCCGGCUGCAGGAGCAGACCCGUGGGCUCCAACCUCCCCUCCUCUUCGCGGUCUGCGCGAGGAGAAGCCAAGAGGGGAAGAGAUGCUCACGAGGUUUCCUUUUCUGCUCUUUGCUGCCUUCUAGUUUUUAUUUUUUUAAACUCUGGCCUCUUUGCUUUUUUUUUUUCCCCCCCCUCCUUUCCUUUGGCUUGCUCAUUUUUAACUCUUCGCUUUCACUCCCAGCACUGCUCUUGCCUUGCAGUCCACAUGGUUUCAGCAAUCUCCAGGGCUGUAAAAAGUACUCAGUCAAGUGCACCGGGCACGGGCUCCGUCUUGCAUCUGAGUUUGGUUUAUUUUGGAAGCUGAGUGGAUCCAAGCUGGUGAGAUACAGAGCUCCUCGGAAAAAAGCCAGGGUACUCCGGCUAAGGAUCCUGGCUCUUCACCAUGGGUCAGACCCACCGGGCACAAGCUGGAGCUUCUCCACUGCAUCUCAGCGGGCAGCACACCGUAGCAGUUUGGGGAGAAAUCGCCUUGUUUGGAGAAUACGAUGAAGAUGAUGAGAGGUGUGGAGGAGCUCCUCUACAGGAAAAAGCUGUAUCGGCUCUGAUAUCAGGGGGAAACAGCGAUGCGCACAGAUGAUGUCGCUGGUGAGGAGGAAGGAGACCAAGGAGGAGUGUGACAGAGGUCUGUAAGAUGGACACAUCAACAACCGCCAGCCACUGAAGAUGGAAUGGGAGGCAACUUCACCCUAGCCUGGGAAUUUUUGGAUACAAAAAGAUGACAGGGAAGAAGGGUUGCAGGCGGCGUGGAGUGGUCUGCGGCCACGCAGCUGCCCCGCUGCUUGCCCACGGAGACACCGCUCCCGCUCGGGGGGAUGCUGCCAACGGCACCUAUGGACAGGAAGGCAGAGGACUGUAUAGGAAGGUGGGUGAGUGUGUAGGAAGGCGGAUGAGUGUAUAGGAAGGUGGAUGGGCAUAUAGGAAAGUGGGUGAACAUAUAGGAAGGCAGGUGAGUGUAUAAGAAGGUGGAUAAAUGUAUAGGAAGGCAGAUGAAUGUGUAGGAAGGCAGGUGAGUAUAGGAAGGCGGAGGACUGUAUAGGAAGGUGGGUAAAUGCAUAGGAAGGUGGGUAAAUGUAUAGGAAGGCAGGUGAGUAUAUGGGAAGGCAGAUGAGCGUAUAGGAAGGCAGAUGGGCAUACAGGAAGGUGGGUGAACAUAUAGGAAGGCAGGUGAGUGUAUAUGAAGGCAGGUGAGUGUAUAGGAAGCUGGAUGAGUGUAUGGGAAGGCAGGUGGGCAUAUAGGAAAGCAGGUGAGUGUAUAGAAAGGCAGUUGAGCGUAUGGAAAGGCAGGUGAAUGUGUAGGAAGGUGGAUGAGUGUAUAGUGAGGCAGGUGAGCAUAUAGGUAGGCAGGUGAGCGUAUAGGAAGGCAGGUGAGCGUAUAGGAAGGCAGGUGAGUGGAUAGGGAGGGUAGGUGAGCAUAUAGGAAGGCAGGUGAGCGUAUAGGAAGGCAGGUGAGCAUAUAGGAAGGCAGGUGAGCGUAUAGGAAGGUGGAUGAGUGUAUAGGAAGGCAGGUGAGUGUAUAGGAAGGUGGAUGAGUGUACAGGAAGGCAGGUGAGUGUAUAGGAAGGCGGAUGAGCGUACAGAUCCCACCAGCCCUGACCCCGCUGGGGGUCAGUUACCUGCAGCCCCCGAGCGGCAGCACCUCCUUCCGUCGGUGGCAGCGGGUGCUUGGGGGGUGGUGGCUCUGCGGGGCAGGGGCGAGACCCAGGCGAGCAGCAACCUCUUAACUCCCCGCAGCUCUGAGCCACCCAAACCUCGCCUCACCGAACG